CUUGUCUUGCAAUGGUGUUCAUUUGUACAAUAUAUUUCUUUUUACGAACAAAGAAAUGAAUAAUUUAGUUCAGAAUUGCAAGAAGUCAAAAAGCGUGCAAUUAAGUGAGCGGCAGGCCCUGUACGAUUGGGGUCUGUGAAUCAUGUCAGGCGGGGAACCGAGCAGCAUUAAGCAGUAUUGCCGAUGCGAUGCAGUAAGUCUGUCGUUCACUCAUUUGUACGAUUGCCGUUAUUUCGGCUGACGGCUUG
rnacentral:SRP_RNA from 1 species